GAGUUUGAUCGUGGCUCAGGAUGAACGCUAGCGGCAGGCCUAACACAUGCAAGUCGAGGGGUAGAGGAAGCUUGCUUCCUUGAGACCGGCGCACGGGUGCGUAACGCGUAUGCAAUCUACCUUGUACAGGGGGAUAGCCCAGAGAAAUUUGGAUUAAUACCCCAUAGUGUUAUUGGAUGGCAUCAUUUGAUAACUAAAGUUCCAACGGUACAAGAUGAGCAUGCGUCCCAUUAGCUAGUUGGCGUGGUAACGGCAUACCAAGGCAAUGAUGGGUAGGGGUCCUGAGAGGGAGAUCCCCCACACUGGUACUGAGACACGGACCAGACUCCUACGGGAGGCAGCAGUGAGGAAUAUUGGUCAAUGGGCGCAAGCCUGAUCCAGCCAUGCCGCGUGUGUGAAGAAGGCC
rnacentral:rRNA from 1 species